UGCCUUGCAUGACCUUGAUCACAGUUCUUGAGAUUCUUGGCUUGUAUAAGAACAACCUUCUGAACUAGGUUGCUUCUGAACAACCUUCUGAACUAGGUUGCUUCUGAACUGGUUGCUUCUGAACAACCUUCUGAACUAGGUUGCUUCUGAACAACCUUCUGAACUAGGUUGCUUCUGAACUGGUUGCUUCUGAACAACCUUCUG
rnacentral:lncRNA from 1 species